rnacentral:rRNA from 1 species
CUAGCGACUUCAGAGUUUGAUCCUGGCUCAGGAUGAACGCUAGCGGCAGGCUUAACACAUGCAAGUCGAGGGGCAGCAUAAACAUUGCUUGCAAUGUUUGAUGGCGACCGGCGCACGGGUGCGUAACGCGUAUGUAACCUACCUCAAACAGGGGCAUAACACUGAGAAAUUGGUACUAAUUCCCCAUAACACUUUGGGAGGCAUCUCCUGGGGUUGAAAGUUCCGGCGGUUUGAGAUGGACAUGCGUUGUAUUAGCUAGUUGGUGAGGUAACGGCUCACCAAGGCGACGAUACAUAGGGGGACUGAGAGGUUAACCCCCCACAUUGGUACUGAGACACGGACCAA